rnacentral:rRNA from 1 species
AACGAACGCUGGCGGCAGGCUUAACACAUGCAAGUCGAACGGGCGUAGCAAUACGUCAGUGGCAGACGGGUGAGUAACACGUGGGAACCUUCCUAGGGUACGGAACAACUCAGGGAAACUUGAGCUAAUACCGUAUACGUCCGUAAGGAGAAAGAUUCAUCGCCCCUAGACGGGCCCGCGUCGGAUUAGGGUAGUUGGUGGGGUAACGGCCUACCAAGCCUACGAUCCGUAGCUGAUCUGAGAGGAUGAUCAGCCACACUGGGACUGAGACACGGCCCAGACUCCUACGGGAGGCAGCAGUGGGGAAUCUUGGACAAUGGGCGCAAGCCUGAUCAGCCAUGCCGCGUGAGUGAAGAAGGCC